UACGUAGGGGGCAAGCGUUUGUCCGGAUUUAUUGGGCGUAAAGAGCGUGUAGGCGGCUAGAUAGGUCCGUUGUGAAAACUCGAGGCUCAACCUCGAGACGUCGAUGGAAACCAUCUGGCUAGAGUCCGGAAGAGGAGAGUGGAAUUCCUGGUGUAGCGGUGAAAUGCGCAGAUAUCAGGAAGAACACCCGUGGCGAAGGCGGCAUCCUGGACCGGCAUUGACGCUGAGGAGCGAAAGCCAGGGGAGCAAACGGG
rnacentral:rRNA from 1 species